rnacentral:rRNA from 1 species
GACGAACGCUGGCGGUGUGCCUUAGGCAUGCAAGUCGAACGGUUCCGAGUCGCAAGAUUCGGGAUAGUGGCAGACGGGUGAGUAUAAGGUAGGAAUCUACCUCUUGGUGGGGAAUAAUCCGGCGAAAGCUGGACUAAUACCGCAUAACUUUGCAAGAAAAAAGAGCUUAACUGCUCGCCGAGAGAUGAACCUGCCCGCUAUCAGCUUGUUGGUAAGGUAAUGGCUUACCAAGGCUAUGACGGCUAGGGGGCGUGAGAGCGUGGCCCCCCACAAGAACACUGAAACACGGGUUCUACACCUACGGGUGGCAGCCACCGGGAAUUUUGCGCAAUGGACGAAAGUCUGAACCAACAACACCGCGUGCGGGAAGAAGGGCUUCGGGUCCUAAACCGCUGUGGAAAGAAAACAAGCUCUGAAAAUAUCCUUCUAAAAAGCACCUGGUAACUACGUGCCAAAAACCUCCGUAAUACCUAAGGUGCCAGCCUUUUCCGGAAUUAUUGGGCGUAAAAAAUAACCUA